CCUGGUAGCGGGGGGUAACUAUUGGAAACGAUAGCUAAUACCGCAUAACAGUAGAUAUCGCAUGAUAUGUACUUGAAAGAUGCAAUUGCAUCACUACCAGAUGGACCUGCGUUGUAUUAGCUAGUUGGUGAGGUAACGGCUCACCAAGGCAACGAUACAUAGCCGACCUGAGAGGGUGAUCGGCCACACUGGGACUGAGACACGGCCCAG
rnacentral:rRNA from 1 species